AUAUAAAACCACAACUCGUUUCACCCUUUAGGGCUUUAUCAAAUGGAAUAAAACGGAUACUUGAUGAGCCCUAAAGGGUGAAACGAGUGGUGGUUUUAUUGUUUACUUUUUAAU